rnacentral:rRNA from 1 species
UACGUAGGGUGCAAGCGUUGUCCGGAAUUAUUGGGCGUAAAGAGCUCGUAGGCGGUUCGUCGCGUCGGCUGUGAAAUCCCGAGGCCCAACCUCGGGUCUGCAGUCGAUACGGGCGGACUGGAGUUCGGCAGGGGAGACUGGAAUUCCUGGUGUAGCGGUGAAAUGCGCAGAUAUCAGGAGGAACACCGGUGGCGAAGGCGGGUCUCUGGGCCGAUACUGACGCUGAGGAGCGAAAGCGUGGGGAGCGAACAGG